CCUACGGGUGGCUGCAGUGGGGAAUAUUGGACAAUGGGCGAAAGCCUGAUCCAGCCAUGCCGCGUGUGUGAAGAAGGCCUUCGGGUUGUAAAGCACUUUCGGUGGGGAAGAAAGCCUUGGGGCUAAUACCCUCGAGGAAGGACAUCACCCACAGAAGAAGCACCGGCUAACUCCGUGCCAGCAGCCGCGGUAAUACGGAGGGUGCGAGCGUUAAUCGGAAUUACUGGGCGUAAAGCGCGCGUAGGCGGUCUGAUAAGCCGGUUGUGAAAGCCCCGGGCUCAACCUGGGAACGGCAUCCGGAACUGUCAGGCUAGAGUGCAGGAGAGGAAGGUAGAAUUCCCGGUGUAGCGGUGAAAUGCGUAGAGAUCGGGAGGAAUACCAGUGGCGAAGGCGGCCUUCUGGACUGACACUGACGCUGAGGUGCGAAAGCGUGGGUAGCAAACAGGAUUAGAUACCCCGGUAGUC
rnacentral:rRNA from 1 species